rnacentral:rRNA from 1 species
UACGUAGGGCGCAAGCGUUGUCCGGAAUUAUUGGGCGUAAAGAGCUCGUAGGCGGUUUGUCGCGUCUGUCGUGAAAGCCUGGGGCUUAACCCCAAGUCUGCGGUGGAUACGGGCAGACUAGAGUUCGGCAGGGGAGACUGGAAUUCCUGGUGUAGCGGUGAAAUGCGCAGAUAUCAGGAGGAACACCGGUGGCGAAGGCGGGUCUCUGGGCCGAUACUGACGCUGAGGAGCGAAAGCGUGGGGAGCGAACAGG